CUUGAUCGACCCCAACCACAGCGGACGGUCCGCCGACCGGUCCUGCCCGUAGGUAGCCAGCAGGGCCUGCGCCUC
rnacentral:antisense_RNA from 1 species